UGCAGUCGAACGAGCUUCCGUGUGAAUGACGUGCUUGCACUGAUUUCAACAAUGAAGCGAGUGGCGAACUGGUGAGUAACACGUGGGAAAUCUGCCCAGAAGCAGGGGAUAACACUUGGAAACAGGUGCUAAUACCGUAUAACAACAAAAUCCGCAUGGAUUUUGUUUGAAAGGUGGCUUCGGCUAUCACUUCUGGAUGAUCCCGCGGCGUAUUAGUUAGUUGGUGAGGUAAAGGCCCACCAAGACGAUGAUACGUAGCCGACCUGAGAGGGUAAUCGGCCACAUUGGGACUGAGACACGGCCCAAACUCCUACGGGAGGCAGCAGUAGGGAAUCUUCCACAAUGGACGAAAGUCUGAUGGAGCAAUGCCGCGUGAGUGAAGAAGGGUUUCGGCUCGUAAAACUCUGUUGUUAAAGAAGAACACCUUUGAGAGUAACUGUUCAAGGGUUGACGGUAUUUAACCAGAAAGCCACGGCUAACUACGUGCCAGCAGCCGCGGUAAUACGUAGGUGGCAAGCGUUGUCCGGAUUUAUUGGGCGUAAAGCGAGCGCAGGCGGUUUUUUAAGUCUGAUGUGAAAGCCUUCGGCUUAACCGGAGAAGUGCAUCGGAAACUGGGAGACUUGAGUGCAGAAGAGGACAGUGGAACUCCAUGUGUAGCGGUGGAAUGCGUAGAUAUAUGGAAGAACACCAGUGGCGAAGGCGGCUGUCUAGUCUGUAACUGACGCUGAGGCUCGAAAGCAUGGGUAGCGAACAGGAUUAGAUACCCUGGUAGUCCAUGCCGUAAACGAUGAGUGCUAAGUGUUGGGAGGGUUUCCGCCCUUCAGUGCUGCAGCUAACGCAUUAAGCACUCCGCCUGGGGAGUACGACCGCAAGGUUGAAACUCACAGGAAUUGACGGGGGCCCGCACAAGCGGUGGAGCAUGUGGUUUAAUUCGAAGCUACGCGAAGAACCUUACCAGGUCUUGACAUCUUCUGCCAAUCUUAGAGAUAAGACGUUCCCUUCGGGGACAGAAUGACAGGUGGUGCAUGGUUGUCGUCAGCUCGUGU
rnacentral:rRNA from 1 species